rnacentral:rRNA from 1 species
GACGAACGCUGGCGGCGUGCUUAACACAUGCAAGUCGAACGGAAAGGCCUGCUUUCCCUUGUGGAUUGCGGGUACUCGAGUGGCGAACGGGUGAGUAACACGUGAGUGAUCUGCCCCCAACUUGGGUAUAAGCCUGGGAAACUGGGUCUAAUUCCCGAUAGGACUGCAGGGUGGUGCCUGUGGUGGAAAACGAUUUUCUAGUGGUUGGGGAUGAGCUCGCGGCCUAUCAGCUUGUUGGUGGGGUAAUGGCCUACCAAGGCGGCGACGGGUAGCCGGCCUGAGAGGGUGGACGGCCACAUUGGGACUGAGAUACGGCCCAGACUGCUACGGGAGGCAGCAGUGGGGAAUAUUGCACAAUGGGCGGAGGCCUGAUGCAGCGACGCCGCGUGGGGGAUGACGGCCUUCGGGUUGUAAACUCCUUUCGACCGCGAGGAAGCCACCUGGUUGGAAGGGUGGUGACGGUAGUGGUAGAAGAAGCACCGGCUAACUACGUG